UGUAUGUACACAGCGAAGGACUAUGGGAGGCAGGGAAAUAGAAGCUUCAGGAGAAGAGAGAAUAGAAACGCACGGAAAAAUUUCGUAGGAAAGCCUAGCGCAGGGGCCAGAAAAUAGAACUUUUCAUUCUGAGAGACUACAUUUUCGAACACUUUUCCCGAGUUACUCGGCCUUACGGACACUUUUACCGAAUUUAUAUGUAAAUCAUUAAUUUCGGAGGCUCAAAAUUUUGUUGUGUUGAAUGUUUUUCCGGAGAUUUUUUAGUUCGGUGACGGGAAUAAGUAUUUCCUCGAGAUAAGUUCAAUGGAAUUCUCUAGCGAGUGCGACUCAGACCAGUGAAUCGAUGAAAGGGGGAACACUACAAAUACCCACACAGACAGAGUCAGGGACGAAUUUCACUCCCCCACUAUGAGACUCGUUUAGUGUAGCCAACCGGUGUUCCUGUUAAAAAUCACACCAUUCAGAACGGAAUGAGUCACGAACUGUCACGAGGUGACUACUACAAUGCGGAGUUGUUUGGAUCAGAGUGGAUGUGGUGGAUGUACAGCAUGUCAUACCGAAUAACAACUCACCAGUAAAUCAAAUCAUUCAAUCCCAUCCUGCCAACUGUAAUAACCCAAUUUUCGAAUUACUCGGCACCCUGACGUCCCCAAUUGUUGACACACUUAUUACGAAUAAACGCCUGCGAUAUAUCGAUGCGAUAAGCUCGUCGAAACAAUCCGAGAAGACCCUGUUCCUUGACAAAAUCGCGUGACGCAAAAAUAUCAUCACUCCGAAUGGAGAAAGAAACUGCGAGAGAGAAAUAACGAGCAAAAAUGUGAAAUGGGAAAUGGGAGUUGAUAAAAAAGGAGAGAGAAAACUGGUGAAACGCGAAGUGAGCAGAGAACUGGACUGGCACCAGCCAGCUGCAGCACUCUGCGGUGAACAGCUUUCGCUCGGUGUAUUGACGUCUACUCUACCCCUGCCAGCCACUAGCUUUGAUUGUGUUAGUACCACGCGACUCGUAUUAGCUGGAAGAGGAUUCUCAAAGUCAACGACAGGCGGUGCUGAUCACAUGUUUCGGAUGUAUUUGAAAAUUAUUUCGUGUCGAUUGACAAUAAAGAAUGAAUGAGAGAAUCGGGAGACUGAAAAUUAAUAAGGAAAAGUGUUCAUCUUCAUCUUUGGUGUUCGUUGAAUCGAACAUAUUCUGUAUUUUUAUUGGAAUGCAAUUUUUUCUGCUGUUAUUUUACAUCGUUUCGACUCGGUUGAGAAUAUUGCGAUGAGACUUUAAGGAUGUUCAGCCAAAACUCACAUUGUUCGCCAUAAUUUUGAUAUUGUCUCAUAUGCCAGGUUCAUAUUUGAGCCACGCGUUCGUAAUAAUCUUGAUCGUUCGAUCGGGGCAUCCUAGUGAGAAAUUAAUUUCUGAAAAUCACUUCUUGUAACAUUACGCUUAGGGAAGAAACA